rnacentral:misc_RNA from 1 species
AAGUAACUCCCCUGUUCUUGAGCAGGGUGCUACUCAACCCGUGUAUACCUUACUUUGUUGCUUUGGCAAGCCGCUUUCGAGCGUUGGCUCCGGCUGACAGCGCUUGCCAGAGGACCCAAACUCUUUUGUUUUAGUGAUGUCUGAGUACUAUAUAAUAGUUA